UGGAUAGCUCAGUUGAUUAGAGUAUGGUGCUGUUAACGCCAAGUUUGGAGGUUCAAUCCCCAUAUGAGAAAA